rnacentral:rRNA from 1 species
GACGAACGCUGGCGGCGUGCUUAACACAUGCAAGUCGAACGGAAAGGCCCUGCUUUUGUGGGGUGCUCGAGUGGCGAACGGGUGAGUAACACGUGAGUAACCUGCCCUUGACUUUGGGAUAACUUCAGGAAACUGGGGCUAAUACCGGAUAGGAGCUCCUGCUGCAUGGUGGGGGUUGGAAAGUGUCGGCGGUUGGGGAUGGACUCGCGGCUUAUCAGCUUGUUGGUGGGGUAGUGGCUUACCAAGGCGUUGACGGGUAGCCGGCCUGAGAGGGUGACCGGCCACAUUGGGACUGAGAUACGGCCCAGACUCCUACGGGAGGCAGCAGUGGGGAAUAUUGCACAAUGGGCGGAAGCCGGAUGCAGCAGCGCCGCGUGCGGGAUGACGGCCUUCGGGGUGUAAACCGCUUUGGCCUGUGACGAAGAGUGAGUGACGGUAAUGGGUGAAGAAGCACCGGCUAACUACGUG